AGGCACUGUACGUACUGGGGAAAAGUAUUACAUACUUGUCAUUCGUAGGCAACAGACUUAGGGUGCUUAUAAACUGGGAGGUGCAAUUUACUUUCUGUUACAUAUUCUCCAAUACAUUUUUCCUUAUAAAACAAUUUUAUCUUUCUGUAUACAGUAGGGUAGGUUGUUGGAAUUUUAUUUUUGUAAAAGAUCAUACAGUGUUUGUCUAUUUAUUAUUUAUUUAUUUAUUUAGAGGAGGAGAAAGAGUGUGUGAGCAUGGGGUGAGGGGACAGAGGGAAAGAGAGAACCUCAAAUAGGCUCCAUGUCCAGCACAGAGCCCCACAAGGUGUUCAAUCUCACCAUCCUGAGAUCAUGACCUGAGCUGAAAUCAAGAGUCCGACAGUUAACUAACUGAGCCACCCAAGCACCCCAAUGUUUGUCUAUUUAAAAUGUGUAUCAUCAGAAUCAGAAUCAUACCAAGAACAGUGGUAAUAUCUGGAUAGUUAGAAAGUACAGAAGACUAGAGAAAACUGACUUUUUAAAAAGGCUUUUACUUUUUUUUUUUUUUUUAAAGACAAUCAUGAAGGGCCUGAAACAGAGAUGGAUGGUGAAGCCGAAAAUAGAGCAGCAGGAGUUGAGAGCACAGCUGAGCUGGCAGAUAGCAGAGCUGUGCCAGUCGUUCAUGUUGGCAGCUUUCUUCAAAUAUCCAAUGAUAUUUGGUUGCCUGUACUCAUUUAAGAGUUUGAUGCCAAGGGCUCCUUGAUGGCUCAAGUCAGUUAAGCAUCGGCCUUCGGCUCAGGUCAUGAUCCCAGGUUCCUGGGAUGGAGACCCGUCUUGGGGUCCCCACUCAGCGGGGAGUCUGCUUCUCCCUCUCCCUCUGCCUGCUGCUUCCCUUGCUUGUGCUUUCUCUCUCUGUGUCAAAUAAAUAAAUAAAUAAAAUAUUUUUUU
rnacentral:lncRNA from 1 species